rnacentral:misc_RNA from 1 species
GAUGAAGAACGUAGCGAAACGCGAUAAGUAAUGUGAAUUGCAGAAUCCAGUGAAUCAUCGACUCUUUGAACGCACAUUGCGCCCGCCAGCAUUCUGGCGGGCAUGCCUGUUCGAGCGUCAUUUCAACCCUCGACCUCCCCUUGGGGAGGUCGGCGUUGGGGACCGGCAGCACACCGCCGGCCCUGAAAUGGAGUGGCGGCCCGUCCGCGGCGACCUCUGCGCAGUAAUACAGCUCGCACCGGGACCCCGACGCGGCCACGCCGUAAAACACCCAACUUCUGAACGUUGACCUCGAAUCAGGUAGGACUACCCGCUGAACUUAAGCAUAUCAAUAAGCGGAGGA